rnacentral:rRNA from 1 species
GACGAACGCUGGCGGCGUGCUUAACACAUGCAAGUCGAACGGAAAGGCCCUGCUUUUGUGGGGUGCUCGAGUGGCGAACGGGUGAGUAACACGUGAGUAACCUGCCCUUGACUUUGGGAUAACUUCAGGAAACUGGGGCUAAUACCGGAUAGGAGCUCCUGCUGCAUGGUGGGGGUUGGAAAGUUUCGGCGGUUGGGGAUGGACUCGCGGCUUAUCAGCUUGUUGGUGGGGUAGUGGCUUACCAAGGCUUUGGCGGGUAGCCGGCCUGAGAGGGUGACCGGCCACAUUGGGACUGAGAUACGGCCCAGACUCCUACGGGAGGCAGCAGUGGGGAAUAUUGCACAAUGGGCGGAAGCCUGAUGCAGCAACGCCGCGUGCGGGAUGACGGCCUUCGGGUUGUAAACCGCUUUCGCCUGUGACGAAGCGUGAGUGACGGUAAUGGGUAAAGAAGCACCGGCUAACUACGUGCCAGCAGCCGCGGUGAUACGUAGGGUGCGAGCGUUGUCCGGAUUUAUUGGGCGUAAAGGGCUCGUAGGUGGUUGAUCGCGUCGGAAGCGUAAUCUUGGGGCUUAACCCUGAGCGUGCUUUCGAUACGGGUUGACUUGAGGAAAGGUAGGGGAGAAUGGAAUUCCUGGUGGAGCGGUGGAAUGCGCAGAUAUCAGGAGGAACACCAGUGGCGAAGGCGGUUCUCUGGGCCUUUCCUGACGCUGAGGAGCGAAAGCGUGGGGAGCGAACAGGCUUAGAUACCCUGGUAGUCCACGCUGUAAACGGUGGGUACUAGGUGUGGGGUCCAUUCCACGGGUUCCGUGCCGUAGCUAACGCUUUAAGUACCCCGCCUGGGGAGUACGGCCGCAAGGCUAAGACUCAAAGGAAUUGACGGGGCCCCGCACAAGCGGCGGAGCAUGCGGAUUAAUUCGAUGCAACGCGUAGAACCUUACCUGGGUUUGACAUGGAUCGGGAGUGCUCAGAGAUGGGUGUGCCUCUUUUGGGGUCGGUUCACAGGUGGUGCAUGGCUGUCGUCAGCUCGUGUCGUGAGAUGUUGGGUUAAGUCCCGCAACGAGCGCAACCCUUGUUCACUGUUGCCAGCACGUUAUGGUGGGGACUCAGUGGAGACCGCCGGGGUCAACUCGGAGGAAGGUGGGGAUGACGUCAAGUCAUCAUGCCCCUUAUGUCCAGGGCUUCACGCAUGCUACAAUGGCUGGUACAGAGAGUGGCGAGCCUGUGAGGGUGAGCGAAUCUCGGAAAGCCGGUCUCAGUUCGGAUUGGGGUCUGCAACUCGACCUCAUGAAGUCGGAGUCGCUAGUAAUCGCAGAUCAGCAACGCUGCGGUGAAUACGUUCCCGGGGCU